rnacentral:rRNA from 1 species
GAUGAACGCUGGCGGCGUGCUUAACACAUGCAAGUCGAACGGAAAGGCCCAAGCUUGCUUGGGUACUCGAGUGGCGAACGGGUGAGUAACACGUGGGUGAUCUGCCCUGCACUUCGGGAUAAGCCUGGGAAACUGGGUCUAAUACCGGAUAGGACGAUGGUUUGGAUGCCAUUGUGGAAAGUUUUUUCGGUGUGGGAUGAGCUCGCGGCCUAUCGGCUUGUUGGUGGGGUAAUGGCCUACCAAGGCGUCGACGGGUAGCCGGCCUGAGAGGGUGUACGGCCACAUUGGGACUGAGAUACGGCCCAGACUCCUACGGGAGGCAGCAAUGGGGAAUAUUGCACAAUGGGCGCAAGCCUGAUGCAGCGACGCCGCGUGGGGGAUGACGGCCUUCGGGUUGUAAACUCCUUUCGCUAGGGACGAAGCGUUUUUGUGACGGUACCUGGAGAAGAAGCACCGGCUAACUACGUG